rnacentral:misc_RNA from 1 species
GAUGAAGAACGCAGCGAAAUGCGAUAAGUAGUGUGAAUUGCAGAAUUCAGUGAAUCAUCGAAUCUUUGAACGCACCUUGCACCCUUUGGCAUUCUGAAGGGUAUGCUCGUUUGAGUGUCAUUGUACUCUCACACUCCCGAUCUUUGCAUUGGGAGCAGUGGACUUGGGUUUGCUGCUUCACCGUCGCUUACCUCAAAUAGGUUAGUGCAACUCUUGGUUGGACAUAGUACGGCGUGAUAAGUGUUCUUCGCCGGUGCCUCGCAAAGAGGGUGGCCGAUCGGGAUGUUGUGCUCCAAACCGUCUUCGGACAAUCUCUGACGACUUGACCUCAAAUCGAGUAAGACUACCCGCUGAACUUAAGCAUAUCAAUAAGCGGAGGA